GAAUUGUUCUAAAAUCUUAGGAUAAAAUUAUACAGAGAAGAUUAGCAUGGCCCCUGUGCAAGGAUGACAUGGAAAUAUGGGAAGUGUUCCAUAUUUUU
ensembl:snRNA U6 U6 spliceosomal RNA